UCUCUAAUUCAUUAUACUACUGCUAAAAUAUCCUAGUUCCCACACCUUUGAUGAUACCCAACAGUCAAAUUAUAGUAAACCCACUUACCAAAAUCAACUACUAAGUAUAAAAAAAAAAAAGCGAAAAGAGAUAAAAGAGAAACAAGUUCGAUUAUCGGAAAAUCACCUGAAAAAGCAAUGAUCUGGAAAUGUUGGAAAGGCCAUAGCUGCCGUUGGCACCCAGUAUGAUGUGGACAACAUUGCUCUGGGGGAAACGCCAAAAAAAUAAAGCUAAAAGAAACAGUAUACACCUACAGCAAGAGAAAAGAAAAGAAAAAAAAAGGUAAAAAAUGGAAGAAGAUCAAGCGUCUUCUCUAAAGGGAGAUGAAGCAGCAGUGAAUUUAGAAGAAGAAGAAGAGGGUUUCAAGAUCUUGGGUUCUACAUAACUACUUCCAAUUGUAAAACACAACAUAUACGGCCUUGAAGACGAAUUAAAGCAAGCAUAAUCAGAUGAACCAAAUGAACAACACUGAUUUAAGGAAAAGAAACCAGAAUUCCCAAAAUCCAU
rnacentral:lncRNA from 1 species